CCUACGGGGAGGCAGCAGUCGGGAAUAUUGCGCAAUGGAGGAAACUCUGACGCAGUGACGCCGCGUAUAGGAAGAAGUUUUUCGGAAUGUAAACUAUUGUCGUUAGGGAAGAGAAAGGACAGUACCUAAGGAGGAAGCAUCGGCUAACUCCGUGCCAGCAGCCGCGGUAAUACGGGGGAUGCGAGCGUUAUCCGGAUUUAUUGGGUUUAAAGGGUGCGUAGGCGGCGCUUCAGGUCAGCGGUGAAAUACCGGGGCUCAACCCCGGGGCUGCCGUUGAAACCGGAGCGCUAGAAUUCCGAUGCCGU
rnacentral:rRNA from 1 species